rnacentral:rRNA from 1 species
CGUUGAUCCUGCGGGAGAUCGCUGCUAUAAGGAUUCGACUAAGCCAUGCAAGUCCAGGGGACGCAAGUCACCGGCGAAACGCUCAGUAACACGUCACUAAUCUGCCCUUUGGUCUAGAAUAACCUUGGAAAACUGAGGCUAACACUGGAUAGGGAAAUAUGUCUGCAACGAUUUUUUCCUUAAAAGCAAUGCCAAAGGAUGAGGUGGCGGCCGAUUAGGUUGUUGGCGGUGUAACGGACCACCAAGCCGAAGAUCGGUAGGGGCCUUGAGAGAGGUAGCCCCGAGAAGGACACUGAGAAACUUGUCCUAGCCCUACGGGGUGCAGCAGGCGCAAAACCUUUACAAUGCACGAAAGUGUGAUAAGGGGAUCCUUAGUGCUAGUACAUAGUACUAGCUUUUUUCAAGAGCAGGAAUCUUGAAGAAUAAGUGGUGGGAAAGACUGGUGCCAGCCGCCGCGGUAACACCAGCGCCACAAGUGGUGAUCAUGUUUAUUGGGCUUAAAGCGUCCGUAGCCGGCUUAGUAAAUUCUUUGUGAAAUUGUCAGGCUUAACCUGACGGCGUGCAAGGAACACUGCUAAGCUUGGAACCGGUAGGGGUCAGAAGUAUUCUUGGGGGAGCGGUAAAAUGCUAUAAUCCCUUGAAGACUACCUGUGGCGAAGGCGUCUGACUAGGACGGGUUCGACGGUGAGGGACGAAAGCCAGGGGAGCAAACCGGAUUAGAUACCCGAGUAGUCCUGGCUGUAAACGCUGCGAGCUAGGUGUUGCAUAUUCUUCGCGAAUAUGCAGUGUCGAAGCGAAAGUGUUAAGCUCGCCGCCUGGGAAGUAUAGUCGCAAGGCCGAAACUUAAAGGAAUUGGCGGGGGAGCACCACAAGGGGUGCGGCGUGCGGUUUAAUCUAAUUCAACGCAGAGAAUCUCACCAGGGGCGACGGCAGGAUGAAAGUCAGUCUGAAGGGCUUACUUGACGAGCCGAGAGGUAGUGCAUGGCCGUCGUCAGCUCGUGCCGUAAGGUGUCCUCUUAAGUGAGGUAACGAGCGAGACCUGUACCUACAAUUGCUAACAACUGCUUGCAGGAUUGAGCACAUUGUAGGGACUGCUCCCGAAAGGGAGAGGAAGGUGCAGGCUACGGUAGGUCUGUAUGCUCCGAAUCCUCUGGGCUACACGCGCGCAACAUUGGUAGGAACAAUGGGACACAACUCCGAAAGGAGAAGUUAAUCCUCCAAAUCCUAUCCCAGUCCGGAUUGAGGGCUGUAACUCGCCCUCAUGACGACGGAAUCCCUAGUAAUCGUGAGUUAGCAUCUCACGGUGAAUAUGUCCCUGCUCCUUGCACACACCGCCCGUCAAACCAACCGAGCAGGGUUUAGAUGAGACAUAGUUUUCUUGAUUGUGCCGAAUCUAAGCUCAGUGAGGUGGGUUAAGUCGUCACAAGGUA